CUUUCUUUCUUCUCGCGUGCAGGUUGAUGAAUGCAGGUGUUGACUUAUGUGUGUUGGUUCCUCGUUCCUCUUGUUGCUUGCUGCUGGGAGCCUCGUGAUCGUUUGUGGUCGGAGCUGCGGAUGAUUCUGCCCUCCAGAGGCUGCGCAAGCUGCCUUUUCUUCCAGGAUUUCUGGAUCAGCCCCUGCCGAGCAGCGUGCGCUGUCACUCCACUAGGAGCCUCUCCACCUCGUGGGCUGCCAUGACUGGGAUGCCUCUGGAGGCCAUUUGUGAAGCUGCUUCCUGGACGGCGCCAAGCACCUUUGCCAGGUUUUACAGGGUGAACGUCGCCACGCCGCAUCCCCUGCAGGGAAUACUGGAGCCUUUUGCGUCCCGCUGAGAGAGGCAGAAGCCUGAAGCCAGCUGACCUAAGGCACUGCAGCACGUGCAGGCUGGACCUUAGCAUCACUAAAUGUCACACAGUAUUACCUCACACUGGUGAGCAGCCUAAGAGAGGAUUUCUGCAGGGCGUGUUGGAGUGUGAGUCAUCAUCAGCGCAGAGAGAGAAAGUGGAGUGAGGGAUUCUUUACGUCGAAGAUGGUGCUUAUGGCAGCGAUGUGUGAAAUGAGUUCUGCAUCAACAUGGACUGAAAUGCCACUCAGAGAGGAACAACCCACAAGCAACAUUAAAGAUGGUGCUGGAGUUCCUGGGUGCGGUGGUGACAGGUGCGACUAAUCUACUGAUUACUUGGAGGUGUACUUAAGUGGGAAGCUGCCAGCAUUUCGUUGCCAGAGUGUUUGCCUUCAGUGGUUGCUUACCUGAACCCUUGGAUUUUUCUUGCUGAUGCCUGACUCUGCUCCCAGAAGUAUUUGGGUGAUCAGGAUUACCGACUUCUGGAGAAAGGUCUUCUAUUAUCGUGGGUUACGAUCCCAAACUCCUGUUUCUUCAUCUGGAAAAGAAUCAAGCUGGCAGCUUCCUGUUUUCCCGUAAUCCGGACCAAGGCAUAAGCAUACCCUGUCCACCCUCCAACCCAAGUAACUUAAUCCUGAACUCUUCACUGUUCUUCGCCCCACCCGACCCACCCCUGGCGGUUACAUUGCUCCUGCAUAGUAAGC